GAGAAAGGAAGGCAGUCACAAUCAGGAGGCAGUGUAAAGAAUGGGAUCCUAUCAAAGCACUUCCUAACCAGGAAAAGGAUUGUGUGUAGACUAACUGAACGCACCCAGGCCCCGUGCCACCUGCUGCCGGCUGUCCUCACAACGCGCCUGUUUACGCUGAUGUACUGUUGGGUGUUUCGAGCCUCCUUUGACCGGCAGCGGUGGUGAUGUGUUGUUCUCGGCCUUCCUGGAACCUUUCUGCGUUUUGAGAUCUCUUUUAUAUCGGUGACCGGAGCCGGUGGCAAGUACGCCCCCUAGCAGAAGGAAAACGCGGUCUGUGCGCCCGCCUACGCACAGCCCCGGUGGAAGAAGAGGCGGGUGCCCGAGCCACGACUGUUCCUCGAAGAGCCCACAGCAGUUCCUCGCUGCUGUCAGUAAUGGUAAUUAUAGUCAUAGAGCACUGUCCCCUGAGGAGCUCAAAGCACUCUGUAGACGCUGUGGCAUUGAUCCUCGUAACACGAGUGUAACAGGGAGAAGGAGCACGCGUUGUUACCGUUUUAUAGAUGGGGAAACUUAACCGAGACGGGCGGAAAUGACUUUCUGUUCACGUGGCGCAGGUCAUGCCGUAGAGGUUUCAUGAAUUCUGAUGUGUGUGCUAAUCACCCCCGCUAAAUCACCGCCGCGGACCAGCCUUUCUUAAUAAGGAUGUCAACUCAGGCGUAUCGCCAAGACGUUGUUCCAUAAUGAAAAGUCAUUCAAAGACCA